rnacentral:rRNA from 1 species
UACGUAGGGUGCAAGCGUUGUCCGGAAUUAUUGGGCGUAAAGAGCUCGUAGGCGGUUUGUCGCGUCGAAUGUGAAAACCCGGGGCUCAACCCCGGGCCUGCAUUCGAUACGGGCAGACUAGAGUUCGGUAGGGGAGACUGGAAUUCCUGGUGUAGCGGUGGAAUGCGCAGAUAUCAGGAGGAACACCGGUGGCGAAGGCGGGUCUCUGGGCAGUAACUGACGCUGAGGAGCGAAAGCGUGGGGAGCGAACAGG